AUUGAACGCUGGCGGCAGGCCUAACACAUGCAAGUCGAGCGAGAGGAGGACGGGGGAGUAAUGUCUGGGAAACUGCCUGAUGGAGGGGGAUAACUACUGGAAACGGUAGCUAAUACCGCAUACCAUCAGAUGUGCCCAGAUGGGAGUCGCGAGUAGGUGGGGUAACGGCUCAGCUAGGCAACGAUCCCUAGCUGGUAUGAGAGGAUGACCAGCCACACUGGGACUGAGACACGGUCCAGCCUCCUACGGGAGGCAGCAGUGGGGAAUAUUGCACAAUGGGCGAAAGCCUGAUCCAGCCAUGCCGCGUGUGUGAUGAAGGCCUUCGGGUUGUAAAGCACUUUCGGCGGGGAGGCGUUAGCCGCAGAAGAAGCACCGGCUAACUCCGUGCCAGCAGCCGCGGUAAUUC
rnacentral:rRNA from 1 species